rnacentral:rRNA from 1 species
CAUUGACUGGAACGCGCCCCAGGCGCACCCAGAAACCCUYUURAACUUAUACCUUACUGUUGCCUCGGCGCAUGUCCGGCCCCCAGGGGCCCCUCGGAGACGAGGAGCAGGCACGCCGGCGGCCAACCUAACUCUUGUUUUUACACUGAAACUCUGAGAAAAAAAACAAAAUGAAUCAAAACUUUCAACAACGGAUCUCUUGGUUCUGGCAUCGAUGAAGAACGCAGCGAAAUGCGAUAAGUAAUGUGAAUUGCAGAAUUCAGUGAAUCAUCGAAUCUUUGAACGCACAUUGCGCCCUCCGGUAUUCCGGAGGGCAUGCCUGUUCGAGCGUCAUUUCAACCCUCAAGCACUGCUUGGUGUUGGGGCACUGCUCCUCUCGCGGGGAGCAGGCCCUGAAAUUCAGUGGCGAGCUCGCCAGGACCCCGAGCGCAGUAGUUAAACCCUCGCUCUGGAAGGCCCUGGCGGUGCCCUGCCGUUAAACCCCCAACUCUUGAAAAUUUGACCUCGGAUCAGGUAGGAUACCCGCUGAACUUAAGCAUAUCAAUAAGCGGAGGA